rnacentral:lncRNA from 1 species
AAAAAAAAAAAAAGAGAGGAAAAAAUGGACCUAAAACACUAAUACUACUAUGCAAGUUGGAGUAGGAUGUGAUGUAAUUAUUGUGAAACAACAGUUAUACUCUAAAAAUUUAAGCUGUUAGACGUAUGAAAGAAAAUUAAUAUGCUAGAAGUCUGGCGUGAUUCGAACUCAGGACCUCCUGUUCUGAUACCAUGUGAAACAAUCGUUGUACUCUAAAAACUUAAACUGUUAUAAAACGGUAUUUAUAUAUUUUUAUAUUUAACAAUUAUACGGCAAUGUUUUGACU